rnacentral:lncRNA from 1 species
ACAGAUCACGUUUAUAAUAACAAUAUAGCAUAUAAACCGCAUUUCAUCAUCGGAUUCGAUCUCAACAUGAAUCCACACAUGAACAUCAUCAAAUCCAUCGAUACAUGUCCGAAAUACACAUAACGUCGCGUAACAAGUGCAUACAUGUCCAACAUACAUGUCCAAAAAGUCCUACAAGUCCAACAUGAGGGCAAAAGGGUCUAACAUGCGUCCUAGUCGAGAAGAUGGAGGCAAAGGUACUUUGCUCGUCACCGAGUACCCCCCACAGGUCCUCCUACAAAAGGAGAGAAAAAGAUUAGUAUCCACUCAAAAAUUCGGCAGCACCUCCCCUGCACGGGGAGGUUCCAAGACCUGCAAAAAACAUGGCACGAAGGCCAACAACGACCACGGCACGAAGGCCGAUAACCACAGCGGCACGAAGGCCGACAACCAUCGCGGCACGAAGGCCAACAAGUAGUUAAGGGAGGCAAACGUACCUAGCUCGUGGCGCCGUCCCCAGGGGUCCCAUCGCCCCACGAACCCCACCCUGCCUGUGGUGGUGCCUGAGUCCACCCUGACGGCGCGGCGUCGUAGCGCCAUAGUCCUGCGCUAGGCCCCUGCUGCGUCUGCGCCCCCGGCCACGAGGAGUAGCCCUGCGACUGUGGAGGAGGAGGCCCCCACGUGAACGGCUGCGUGGGGUAGGUCGGGUAGGUCGGGUACCCUGGCCAGCCUUGCUGUGUAGGGCUGGCACCCAGUGGAGGGCUGGGAGUCGGGUUCGAACCCGCCGACGGAGCCUGCACAAAGGACAAGUGAGGUAAUUAGUAAUGUACCUGCAGGAUGGCCGCACAAGCUAAAGCAAGUGAGGCAAUUAGUAUUAUACUCACCGGACGCUGAACAGGAGCAGGCACUGGGACUGGUGGUGGAGCAAAGAGCGAGGGAGGAAGAUCCUGCUGGUGCUGGGUCCGGAGGAAGCUCGCCAGGUCCGCCAUCUGACGCUGGUGGUGCUCCGUCAGUGCCGCCAGGUGCGCCUGGUGGGCCGCCUCCACCGCCGCCAGCUGCGCCUUGUGGGCCAAGUCCUGGGCCGCCUGGUUGGCCUCCAGCUCCUCCAUCCUAGCCUGCAAUAUUACACCCGCACAUGGUUGAUGGUAUGUGAAGCGAAGGUGGAUCGUGUGUGAACGACGAAUGGAACCACACUUACCUCCAUCUGCGUGUACAUCUGGGUGGUGCUCGGCUGUCGUGGUGCUAUGGGGAUGCCGGAGGAGCUGCUGGAGUUGGAUUUUCGAAUCUCUCUCAGCGUGGGAGUAGUGGUCGGGUCGAUGGCGCUGUUGGCCAUCCAGUAGGAGCCGUGCUGCUUCCCUCCUCCCAACCUCAUCACGAGCUCUGGGUCCAGGGGCUCCGUGGUGGGGUCCUUGUCGUCCCCAUGGCGCUGGCGAAACGCGGCGCUGUACUCGACGAGCUUGGGGUGGACGCCGGCGUUGGUGUACGCCUCCGGCCCGUCCUGCGGGUUGAACCUGUUGUUCGGGUCCUUCGCCUUGCCCUUUUUAGAAAGGGCGUACCCCACCACCACGUUGAUCUCCUCCCCAUCAUGGGAGUCCCUCUGCGAGAGGAAAACACAAACAUGGUUAGAGGUAAAUAGAUUGAGCGCUAUAUGAGUCCAUGUGUACCAAAAGGAGCAUACCCAGGCGUCCAUGAACUGCGGGAGGGACCGAUUCCCUUGGUGGUGUGCUACCCCCUUGUUCUUGAGCCGGCGCUGCCGACGCUCGUUUUUCACCUCGUACGCCUUGUCCGAUCUCCAGUAGCGCACGAUCUCCUCCCAGCAUUCCGGGUGCGCGUCGCACCACUCCGGUAUCCACUAAGAAACAUCAAGUAUUUGACAUGUCAGAAGAUGAAUUGAAUGUUUCACGGAAGAAAUAAGAACGAAUGUUUCCUGCUUACUUACCCGCAAGUACUCCUCCUCGGUGAGGUCGGUCUCCCUCUCCAGCACGAUGUCCUGCCUGACUCGCUGCUUAUCGAUCGCCUCGCCAAGCACGUUGCGGUAGUGCUUGAUGACGCACUGGAUGCGCGCCUCGUGGUACAAGUCCCUGAGGCGUGAGUGGCAGGCGUUCUCCAGCACCACCUGCGCCCUGGCCUGUUUCCCAUCCUCGCACCUAAAGUACUCCUGCACGCAGACAUCAUGUAUCAUUUCAUUGUUUCAAGAACAUCCAAUGAAUGUGUAGUAUUGAGAAAUGCGUUGUGAUGAAAACACUCACCCAAAACUCCCUCUUGAUCUUCACCGCAAGUGUCUCGCGUGCAGGUGAAUCAACACGAUCGCCGCCUUCGGGCUCAGGGACGGGGACGGUGUGCACGUGGAAGUGGUCCCACUGCAUGGGCGGCUGUCGAACGCCGUCGAUGGUGACCAUGCCCGGGUAGUACUCCCUAAUCAGCAGGGAGAGGAUGCCAUUGACAUGGCGUGAGUCCCGUUUAGCACAGGGGUCCACCUCCCUCGGAAACAUCCAGCUCCUGCACGAGUCAUUAACAACAAUUCUUAGUCUGCAGUUCGGUUUCAUACAUGCCAUAUGAACAAUGUGAACAAAGUAGUUUACUUACCUGUCGCCGACGGGUGAAAUCACCUUGCGGUGGUGGGGGAGCGGCUUUCGGCUAGGGAGCGUCGAGGGCCCGCGCUCGAAGAGCUUCCUCGAACCUGAGGAAGGCCCCCCGUCGCCCCCGUCGCAGUGGCCCCUCUCGUCGUCGUCGUCGUCGUCGUCGACGUCGCCACCGUCGCCCCCGCCGCAGCUACCGCCGCCGCCGCUGCCACCGUCCCCUGUCGUCGUCGUCGUCGUCGUCGUCGUCGUCGUCCUCGUCCUCGUGAAGUCCAGCCUCCUCUGCCGGAGACGCCCGGAGCGGGCCGUCUCCCCCGUACCGGCCGUCUCCUCCGUACUGACCGGCACCUCCUCCCUACCGGUCUCCUCGUCCACGUCCGGCUCCUGCACGCCGCGACCGGCGAAGCGCGAGCGACAGUUCCGUGGAGGCAGCCUCUUCCUGCCGCCUGGCAUUCCGCCGAGUGCCUACAAUGACAAAGAUUAAAACAAUUAGCAUAAAUUGCAAGGUGAUAAUAAUAAUAAUUGUAAAUGACAAGUAAUUGUAAAUAAAGAAACAUAAUUGUAAAUGACAAGUAGUUGUAAAUAAAGAAACAUAAUUGUAAAUGACAAGUAGUUGUAUUACGUGGAGGCGACAUAAUCUCCGAGUAUGGCAAUACGACUGGUGAGACGUCGUCACCAAUUUCCUCGUCAUCACUAUCGAUAUUGUCGAGCUCUCGAUCGUCCUCAUCAUCUCCAUCUCCAUCUCCAUCGUCAUCGUCAUCGUCAUCGUCAUCGUCCAGAACAACUCCUUCGCGCUUCCUCUGCCAUUGCUCAAGGAGUUGUAAGUCCUUAGCAUCGAGCACGUCAUCACCCUCAUCCUCAUCGAUGUCGUUGUCCACUUCCAUGCUCAUUAGCGCAGAAAUGUCUAUCUCGAAUUGCCCAUCUAGCCCCUCAGGUUGAUAGAACUCAUCUGUCGUUGGGUCAUAGUUGUAAUCGUCAUCAUUUGGGGUAGCAGCUUUACAGCGCGGCGAUACCAUGUGCACAAGGCUCCAACCCGCAAGCCUUGGGUCAGUUUGGCACGCCCAUGGAAGGUAAUAAACUUGGUUGGCGUCUCGGUUAGCCACAAUAUAGACAUCGUCUCCAUUAUAUUUGGAAUCCUGUCGAAUUUCGAUUUGCCCAAUCUUAGGGUCUUGUUUCGUGACAUAAGGAUCGAACCAAUGGCAUUUGAAUACCACUGGCUUCAAAGAACUGCCACCCUUGAAUUCGAGCUCGUAUAUCUCUUCAACUAUGCCGUAAUAGUCCAAUUCAUCAUUGCCGGGAGUACGAACUCCGCUGCACGUGGUUUUUUGUUGGGGCCGGCUCUCCUCGUGGCCUCUAGUGCGAAAGCGAUAGCCAUUGACAUCAUAAACGGUGUAUGACUUGACCUUACGGUUGAAGCCAAGGCCCACCUCUCUCAAUUCAGCACUCAUUUGCGGAUCGGUCUGGGCCUGCAAGGUUAGGACAGUUCGACCGUUAAAUUACUCGCUCCUAGGAGCAAAGUGGAAUCACAAAGUCGGGAAACGAUAGGUACCUUUGAACAGAACCAGGAAACGAAGUUGGGCUUGCUAUGUCUAAGAAGACGGUCCUCUUGUUGCGAGGUAGGAGCAGUAUUGCCCCUCCAGUAAAUAUUAAUGAAUUCCCUGAAAAACAAGAGACAAGGGGUCGAAUCGAUAGGUAAUUAAGAUGAUAUAGUGACGGUGUAUGAAACAAGCGUACUGAGAACUUACUUCUGAUAAACCAGGCACUCAUCAAGGUUCAACAACAAGUACAUCAUGAUAGUGGUCCACUCCUCAUGGGUCAAGUUCUUGUUGGUAGCUGUGCUUCCUCUUCCGACAUCCCCUUUGAAAAGGCUGAGGUUCGAUGAGUUCUCCUCGACGUUGUAACGAGGGGUUGGAUCUUGCGGUCUUUGAAGUUUUUCGGUAUAGUACGCCUGUGUGAAUGUCGACACCUCCUCCAUAAUGAAUGCCUCUGCCACAGAAGCCUCAAUUUUGGCUUUAUUUUUACACUUCUUCCGAAGUAGCUUUAGACACCUCUCGAUUGGAUAGCACCAACGGUGCUGCACGGGCCCCCCCAACCGUGCCUCCCUUGGCAGGUGCAAAAUCAGAUGCUGCAUCGAUAGGAAGAAGCCGGGUGGAAAUAUCAUCUCCAACUUGCAGAGCAACUUAGGUGCACCCUUCUCCAGUUCAAGACAAACUUCUCGAGAUAACUGCUUGGCACAAAGCUGACGGAAGAAAAAGCUCAACUCUGCCAGGACGCGCCACACUGGCUCCGGGAGGUAUCCUCGGGUCAUCGCGGGAAGGACCCGCUGAAUCCAUAUGUGGAAGUCGUGACUCUUCAUCCCUAACACUUUCAUAGUCUCCAAGUUCACUCCCCGGGCCAGAUUCGCCGCAUACCCAUCAGGGAACUGCAACGUGCUCAUCCACUUCAGUAUUUCCUUCCUAACUGGCCUUUUCAGGACGUAAUCGGCCGGGCCCCUUUUCCAUCUCUUGCCUGGCGCAGGGGUCUUCAUCACAAGCUUUGGUCUAUCACAAAUAGUUUCAAUGUCGAGUCUAGCCUUAACGUUGUCCUUCGACUUCUUACCAAGGUCCAUGAGUGUUGCCCAGAGUGCCUCGGCGACAUUCUUUUCUGUGUGCAUUACAUCGAUGUUGUGUGGAAGAAGAAGGUCCUUGAAGUACGGUAGCCUAUGCAAGCCCGAUAUAUGAGUCCACAUGUGUGUGGUACCAUAUCCAAUAAAACCACCGUUCACUUCAUCAAUUUGGAGAGCCUGUAACUCGGCAAGGACAGCGGCAGGGCUCCUAGGCUCAGGAAUGGGGUCGGUGACUUGAACACCUUUCGUGAAAUGCUUUUCAUCCCGUCUCAAUUCAUGGCCCUCGGGCAGGAAUUGCCGAUGUUUGUCGAAAGAAGAGUACUUGCCACCCUUUUUCAGCCAGGUGAACAUCACAUCUGUCUUGCAUGUUGGGCAAGGGAACUUCCCGUGAACACACCACGCGCUGAACAAGCCAUACGCCAAGAAGUCAUGCAAUGAAUACUGGUACCACACAUGCAUUGUGAAGUUCCUCUUUGUAGCUCGGUCGUAUGUCAGCACCCCCUCGUCCCAAGCAUGUUGCAAUUCAUCCCACACUGGCUGCAUGAACACACCCAUAUUGUUGCCCGGGUGUCCAGGUAUUAUCAGCGUCAAGAACACAUUCCUGGGUUCAAACAUGACGCCGGGGGGAAGAUUUAGGGGGAUCACGAACACCGGCCAACAAGUGUACGGGGCCGCCAUCAUUCCAAAUGGGUUGAACCCAUCUGUUGCCAGCGCGACGCGUACAUUCCGAGCCUCCUCAGCCUUAUCAGGAUUCAUGGCAUCGAAGUGCCUCCAUGCAUCACCAUCCGCUGGGUGUACCAUCUUGGAAGUGUACCUCUUGCCUUUCUUGUGCCACACCAUCAUUUUCGCGGUAUCCUCUGUCAUAUACAGCCGUUGGAGCCGAUGUAAAAAAGGAAGGUGCCUUAUGACCAUCUCGGGGAUCUUUGACUGACGCUUGAUGCCAUCAUUGCCUUCUACCUCCACAUACCUAGAGAUUUUGCACUUUGGACAGUGUGUUGCGUCCUCGUGGUCGUCCCUGAACAGGACACACCCAUUCUUACAAGCAUGAAUCGGCUCGUACGGCAUCUUGAGUGCUCGAAGCAUCCUCUGUGACUCGUACGUGCUCUUCGGCAACUCGUGAAGCUUCGGAAGCAAGUUGCCAACUGUCGCCAACACGAGAUCAAAACCUUCUCGACUGAUGCCCAGUGACGACUUCAACGCAAUUAGUUGAGAAAUGGCAUCCAACUGCGAAACAUGCGUCUUCUCGUGAAGGGGCUUCUGUGCCGCCUCCAGCAUGGCGAAGAAUGCCUUUGCGGUUUCCUCCGGAUCCUCCUCCGCCUCUAUUCCUUCAGGGAACCCCCCUUCCUGGUAGUCUUCCAUCAGAUCUGCCAUCCCGGCAUCUGCAUCAAGGUCCUCGAGGAGCUGCCUCACCGGCACCUCCCUAAUAGGAUCUCGUUCACCAUGGUGGACCCAGCGCGUAUAGUUUCGAACGUAUCCGUACUUGAAAAGAUCUUCCAUAACCGUACGCCUGUCUCUCCAUUUCUUGUUCUUACAGUUGUUGCAUGGACACCGCAUUCGAAUCGACCCUCUAGCAGCUCGGUCGAAUGCCUGCUCCAGGAAAGCACUGGUCCCCCUAACCCAUUCAGUGGUCUGUUUCUCCUUUGUCCAGCCAGUGUACAUCCACUCACGGUCAGCCAUCCUCUGACAUGCGCCAAUGUAAGCGAGCAAUAAAACCAGCAUAUGCAUCUACAAAGCGUUCCUACCAUCUACAAAGCGUUCCUACCAUCUAAUAGGUGAAGGAUAGGUCCUAUUUCCACCCGAGGAUGCGUAGAUGAGGUUAGCUUCCAUGCUCCGCGCCCGUUCGAGACGGAAUUUCGGCAGCACCUCCCCGCUGUUCUCCCGAUACACGUCCCGACUGGGAGAGUGUGCAUCCGGAGAACAACGGGGAGGGGCUGCCGAAACUCCGACUCGAACGGGGGCGGAACAUGGAAGCUAACCCAUCUACGCAUCCUCGGGCUGUCCAAAAAAUGUGGACAAUCCGAAAGAGACACCGUCGCAGAUAUGCACGGAUCCGCAUACCAACGACCGCGAAUCUCUUUCGGACGGGAGACGCCUAACUUGGCUGCGUAAUCUAUAACUACUAUAAGGAUGAGAGGUGAAUUAUACCUAGGAUAGCGACACAAAGGCGAGUAGCAGGGCGAUGGAGAGUCGACGCGGUGUAGGAAGACCCACAGCACCCACGAACACGAUCGGAGUCACCAAGUACCUCCCACAGGUGAUCCUACAAAAAGGACAAAAAAAGGUUAGUAUCCACUCAAAAUUUCGGCAGCACCUCUCCUAAACGGGGAGGUUCCAAAACCUGCAAAAAACAAUGGCGCGAAGGCCGAUAACCACAACGGCACGAAGGCCAAUAACCAUAGUGGCACGAAGGCCGACAUCACAAUGGCACGAAGGCCAACAAUUAGAAGCAUUAAUUACCACACCUGCUCAAAUGCAACAUGGAUAGAUAAACUUUUUUCAGAGAGCUUGUCAUACUUUAUUAUUAUUACAGUAUAAACAGCUGCUAAUUCAAACUUUACUGGUUUUGCUAGGAUUCUUGCAUUUUAAUACGUACAAAACACAACAUUUCAGGGUCCAUCACUGGAGAUUCUAUGGACAGAACACAUGUGAAAAUGCAGUGUUGCUGUUAAAAUUUAGCAUAUGCUCACAUGUGAAACAAAGCAAAGCUAUUUAGAACCACAAGUGUGAAUACAAUUAUAAAUAAAAGCAGAGAAUAACCAGUAAGAGAAGGCCUAAAAAUAAUAAAAAUGAUGACAGAACUAUCAAAUACUGAAGAUAGACAUAGCAGUAAAAUAAUACAAUAGAAUGAUAAGCAGUACUUAUCCUCUUUUAUUGUUGUGAUGUUAACUACAGCAGGACUGGACAUGUCACCCAAGAAGCAUGUCAACAUCAAAAUAGACAGAACAGUACCUAAGUAAAUAAAUAAAUAAAUGAUGGACUGUAAUCCUCAUCUUCUCAUGGGAAAAGGAAGCAAAGCAGACAGUAGCAAUACUAAAGUAAUUUGCACAGAUAGGACAGUAAUUUGUAUGAGCUUCAAAUUCCUUCCAAGUUCAGCGGAUGCGGUUGAAAACAAAACAAAACAAAUUCCUACCUGCUACAAUAAUGCAAAUCCACGGAAAGUUCGUUAUCGUGCUAUCCUACAUCGGGCAGCAAGGACCACAGCCCACAGCAGGGGUUUAUACGGAGACCUCUUCAGAACAGAGCACUACCAUUAGUUCUAUAUGAACACAUCAGCCCAACUACAAAUAUCUCACAAAAAAAAUAUCUAAUAGGGACAACCAAACGCAAAACGCACUGCAGGUGGAUCUGGAUCUGGGGUUCUGGAUCCAGUAGGCAGCAGAACGCUACCAGCACCACCCUCCCGGCCAGCAGAGCGUGCGCAUGGGCGUACCUUCGCGAGAUGCGGAUGGGGGAGACGCGGCCGGAGGCGUCGUGCGCCGCGAGCGCCAGCGCCGUUGUCCGCGGGUGCUGCUACGCCUCCACCGUCGUCCACGGGUGCGGGCGCAGCGUGCAGGGUGCAGGGGAGGCGGCGGCGCAGGGCGCAGGGUGUAGGGGAGGCGGGGGCGCAGGGCGCAGGGGGCAGGUCGGCGGCGGGAGUGUGGCGGCGGCGGCGCUCGCUGCAGGGGACGCGCGAGUGCGGACAGGGGGAGGAGGCGCGGGUGCUGGCGCU